rnacentral:tRNA from 1 species
GGCCAGGUAGCUCAGUAGGUAGAGCAGGGGACUGAAAAUCCCCGUGUCGGCGGUUCGAUUCCGUCCCUGGCCA